GCCCAGCUUGCUGGGCGGAUUAGUGGCGAACGGGUGAGUAAUACGUGAGUAACCUGCCCUUGACUCUGGGAUAAGCCUGGGAAACUGGGUCUAAUACUGGAUACUACCGUCCACCGCAUGGUGGGUGGUGGAAAGGGUUUUACUGGUUUUGGAUGGGCUCACGGCCUAUCAGCUUGUUGGUGGGGUAAUGGCUCACCAAGGCGACGACGGGUAGCCGGCCUGAGAGGGUGACCGGCCACACUGGGACUGAGACACGGCCCAGACUCCUACGGGAGGCAGCAGUGGGGAAUAUUGCACAAUGGGCGGAAGCCUGAUGCAGCGACGCCGCGUGAGGGAUGACGGCCUUCGGGUUGUAAACCUCUUUCAGUAGGGAAGAAGCGAGAGUGACGGUACCUGCAGAAGAAGCGCCGGCUAACUACGUGCCAGCAGCCGCGGUAAUACGUAGGGCGCAAGCGUUGUCCGGAAUUAUUGGGCGUAAAGAGCUCGUAGGCGGUUUGUCGCGUCUGCUGUGAAAGCCCGGGGCUCAACCCCGGGUCUGCAGUGGGUACGGGCAGACUAGAGUGCAGUAGGGGAGACUGGAAUUCCUGGUGUAGCGGUGAAAUGCGCAGAUAUCAGGAGGAACACCGAUGGCGAAGGCAGGUCUCUGGGCUGUUACUGACGCUGAGGAGCGAAAGCAUGGGGAGCGAACAGGAUUAGAUACCCUGGUAGUCCAUGCCGUAAACGUUGGGCACUAGGUGUGGGGGACAUUCCACGUUUUCCGCGCCGUAGCUAACGCAUUAAGUGCCCCGCCUGGGGAGUACGGCCGCAAGGCUAAAACUCAAAGGAAUUGACGGGGGCCCGCACAAGCGGCGGAGCAUGCGGAUUAAUUCGAUGCAACGCGAAGAACCUUACCAAGGCUUGACAUUCACCGGACCGCCCCAGAGAUGGGGUUUCCCUUCGGGGCUGGUGGACAGGUGGUGCAUGGUUGUCGUCAGCUCGUGUCGUGAGAUGUUGGGUUAAGUCCCGCAACGAGCGCAACCCUCGUUCUAUGUUGCCAGCACGUGAUGGUGGGGACUCAUAGGAGACUGCCGGGGUCAACUCGGAGGAAGGUGGGGAUGACGUCAAAUCAUCAUGCCCCUUAUGUCUUGGGCUUCACGCAUGCUACAAUGGCCGGUACAAAGGGUUGCGAUACUGUGAGGUGGAGCUAAUCCCAAAAAGCCGGUCUCAGUUCGGAUUGAGGUCUGCAACUCGACCUCAUGAAGUCGGAGUCGCUAGUAAUCGCAGAUCAGCAACGCUGCGGUGAAUACGUUCCCGGGCCUUGUACACACCGCCCGUCAAGUCACGAAAGUUGGUAACACCCGAAGCCGG
rnacentral:rRNA from 1 species